rnacentral:ncRNA from 1 species
AUAUCAGGGGAGCUAAUUGCUGAGAGGAGAUUAUAAUCUCGACCCUUUAACCUGUUUGGAUAAUGCCAGCGUAGGGAGACAA